rfam:Gossypium arboreum cultivar AKA8401 contig_38292_1, whole genome shotgun sequence.
UGUUAAAAAUUUCAUCUAUUUAUACUAUUAAAAACUAGCAUCUCUAAUAGAAUAACUAAAUAGUGACAUAUGACAUGCCACAUGUAUAUCAUUCUGACCUAUAGAGACCUGUUUUUAAUAAUAGAAAUGGAUGAAAUUUUUAACU